rnacentral:misc_RNA from 1 species
AGGGAUCAUUAACAUUCAAACGAGGGGUUCGCUCCGUUCUCCUCACCCUCUAUAGCCCAUUGAGGUGGAGGCAGGGAGAAGCUCGGGAAGGUAGGAAAGGAGCUCUGCCCCUUCCCUACCGGUCUGAGUGGACUCUGUCCCUUCUCUAUGUGCUAUGUCCCACACCCUUGAACCUCUUUAUAUCACCCCUCCUCACCAAUCCCAUGUACUUUAGAAAUAAGUGUCCCCUCUAAAAUCUAGAUACCACUCCUAGCAAUGGAUCUCUAGACUUCC